UUUAAGUAUAGCCAUGAGUUUUUUAUCCAACUUUGAUAUUACAUCUUAUUUGAAUUUUUUUAUGAUUAGUAUUUUUAUUGUUAUUAGAUAAUAAAACAUGAAUAGUACUUUAUGUGUGAUAUGUUUUUUUAAAAAAUAAUUUAAAUAAGAUUAAAGUUGGAACGCUUGAAAUAGGACGGAGGGAGUAUAA
rnacentral:pre_miRNA from 1 species